rnacentral:lncRNA from 1 species
GGUGUUCAAUGCUUGUUUGACAGUGUGUCCUGACUGCUGAUGGUUCUGAAACCAGAAGACUGACUUGGCUUGGAAACUCUCAGACGACGACACCCACUUCUGACUCACCUAGCUGUGGUUCCCAGGGAUCCGGUGCCUCUAAAACCGGGCUGGUGUUGACAAGUAACCACUUCCUGGCUUUCAGAAGAUAUGAUAAUGCUCUGUUGUACUUUCUAAGUCACAACCCAGGAAGGAGAGGAAAGAAGACUUUAGUGAGGAAAUUCACCAUGUUCAUGCUCAUUUCGCCUCUGCAGACAGACAACAUAUAGAGGGACGGCAUGUUGAGGAUGACGGUAGCACUCAGGUUUCUCAUGGGUUGACUCCCGGCCAGCACAGUGCAAAAGACAAUUACAGGCUUUAGCUCACAUGCCACCUAUGUUCCUACAUCCCUUCCCCACAGAAGGACACGGAGGCACAGAGAUCAUCUGACUGGCAAGGUGCACUGGUAGUGAGGGGCAGGGUGAGGGGCUGCGCAGCCUGAUGCGGUCUCUGCAGGAACAAUGGGAUAACCACCAGACACCAGUGACAGGUCUCCUCAGACCCUGAGUCCCAGGCAGGGCCACCAAACAGAUGUAAGCACAACUGGAACUGCAGAAUGCUUCAGGGCAUCAAAGGCACCCAAAAGGUUCUGUUUACUACAGUGGAUGCUUCUCCAUUUACAAUCCCUGUGUUGAUUGCAAUCAGUGAGGUUCUACUAUUUAUCAUUAGGGACCUCCAGAAUAGGGCAUGCAAGUUCAACUGCAUAACUUUCCCCUAAACUGUCCCAACCGCCUCCCCCCAAAAAAAAUCUAUAAGGAAGUCAUAGAUCCCUCCAGCCUCUUCUGUGGAAGCAAAGGAGCAGCCGGUGAAGCAAAACCUGGGUUGCUGUGAGAAGUUUGAGGGCCAAGCUGGAGGGCUCUGCAGCCCAAAGAACACUGGAGGAGGGUGUCAGGGGUCCGGGGACAAGAAACUGUAGCCAUCUGGGUCGCAGAACACUAAGAGCCCGGGUUAUCAGCCGUUCUCAGGGACCCCUUUUGUUUGUGGAUCUCACAAUGCUGAUGCUUACUUACAAAUGUGAGCCCGACACCACAGUUGGACACAGAAAGCUCUAGAAAGAAAUUGAUUCCGACGCCAGAGGCUGUUAACAACGUGAGAAGAUGGCGCCCUCUAGUGUCAGAAUGAUCCUGCAGUCCACACCAGCCUGAGAGCUGUGACCUUGAACACUGAGCAGGUGGCAGCUUCAAGGUGGCCGCCACCCACAGGCCUGGAGAGGGGGAGGGAAGAAAUCUGUAUUGGGAGUGGGUGACCAGUUUCUGCAGCUCAGGAUCCUCCCUCUGUUGACUUCCAGACCCCAGAAAUCUGUACUGCAGAACCUUCUAACGCAGCUUUCUCCAAAGACAGCAACAAAAACCAUUGAGCCCUUUUUUACGUGUUUUAUUUUCUCUUUUUCUCUUAGAAGAUGCAUGAUACCUUAAGAAUAAACGUUUUAACUUAAUAUGGUCAUAGUGUCUGGGAUCCUAUUGCCUGUUUUCAUCACAAGUGCUUCUUGUUCAAAGCCUGGUCAAUUCCAAACCAAUGACCUCUGUGACUGGCAAGACCGCCAUGAAAAACCGUUAACAGGGAAAUACCACAGACCUAGCUGAAAGUCAACCAAGGUCAUUUACACAUUCUUGAAAUUUAAACAGAAAGACAAGUUACAUAUCAAAGAACUGCC